rnacentral:lncRNA from 1 species
AUCAUGAAUGCCCCUGACAUCCAUGAAUGCUCAUGGCACACGCUUCCACCCAUUUGCCUGAUGAGGGUAUUCAGUGAUGACAAUGGAUUUGGAGGUUGAAAGUCUUGCCUCAGGCCUUGGAGCUAGGGUAACACCAGAGAAAACAAGAAUUCAGAGACAAUACAUAGUGUAUCAGGUGGAGUUCUUGACUGCAAGCAAAAUAAACCACUUCUGGCUAACUGAAACAAGAAGGGAAUAUACUGGAAUAUCAGGAAGCUCAGAAACCAUUGUGAAGCCCAGAGUCCUACCUGGCUCCUUAACACUACUGGCACUGAGAGUCAACUACAGUACCUUUUUGCUGCUCCUGAAUGGCUGCCAAUAAAUAUCUUUGGAAAGAAGGAACAUGUGAAGAAACGAAACAAUCCUUGAGGAAAAGAUCAUAUGCUUGGGCAAAAGGAUGUGGACUUUAGAUGGGAGAUGUUCAACUUUUAAUCCUAACCUCCUGGUAUUUUAAAUAUGUAGCAAUGGGCAUGUUGUGUUUCUGUGAAUCUCAGUUUUCUAUAUAUAAAAUGGGAGCCUUAACUAUCAUGCAGAAUAACAAGAGCACAAGAGCGCUUUCAAAAUCUAUUUGUAGCAAAUAAUCUCAUGUGAAAAGUCAACCUAUUUAAUCAUCUCACCAUGUACAACACAACUGGUGAAUUUUGGAAGUCAAUGUGAGAGCGAAGUGAGAUAAGACAAGCAUGAUAUUGGCACAAGGUAUUUCUUGAACAUUAGUUUUAAUUCCCAGGUGUGUUAGAUUUGAAGGGAUUGUGUUUAAAUUUUGUUAUGUUUUCCAAAUCACCUUUAAGCCAUAUAUGCCAAUCAAAUAAAUAUUAAACUUCAAGCAAAGAAGCUCAGAACUAUCUUUUCAAACAAGAUAACUAGGAAAAAAUCACACAAAGAUUUUCAGGAUCCCUUUGGCAGCAUUUGAUCCUUAAAAGAUAUUUUCUCUAUGUUGAGCCAUCAUUUACGUUGUUAUGUGUUUUUCUCUUUACCUCUGAGCCUAUAGUCCUAGUUUUUUUCUUCCUCAUAUUUGGGUAUUCUGGAAUGUCAUAAAAAUUACAAAAGAAAAUAAUAAAAAAGGGGGUAGAAAUUCAAAGUAAAGUUCACUCAUUUUUAGGUGGGAUAUAUUGUUCAUGGAGCAAAAGUAGUUCACAGCAUUCAUGAUUAUCUUUGGGUUUAAGUUUUGGGUCCUUUUGUUUGAAUUGCCAGUACUUGAAAAUUUUCAGCAAGUCCUGAAAUAGUGACUUCUCAAUUCUGCAGAUGGGGAGCACUCUACAAUCAGUCUCUUUCAAUGUAGACAGCUGAGCAUUCAUUGGAAACACAGUCCCUUGUAAAUCAAACCUUUGACUCGAUUGGUCUGUUGUAUGCAUCUCCUUCUACGAUGUCUGUUUUGCAAAUGGAAGAAAAAUUCAUGUAGAGCCAAGGCUUCCCCAUUCAGUUACAGCCUUGGGAAAGAUGAGCAAGGCACUGACCUGAGUCUGUUUGUCUGAAAUCCCUGAGUAGAAAGCCGGGGAGUUAGGAGAGCUGGUUCUGAUUAACCUAUAUGGAGAGUCCAAUGUAAAUGCUAUUAAAAACUCAUUGAAUGGUAUAGGAACUGAUUACUUACCCAGGGAGUUCUAAGUAAAUCGAAGCAAAUUGCCUGAGAUUUAAUUUAACAAACAUUUACCAAGCAUCUGCUCUGCUCACAGCGCUGGGCUUAGAGCUAUGGGGUGCAGAGACCAAGCAGACCCAGGCUGCCCUCCAGGAGCUCAUGCUCUGGCUCCCUUUGACACACCUCUGGAAAGGGCACACAUCUUCCAUUGUAGCUUGAGGACAUUUGACUACUUGACCAAAACCUGGGGCAAAUUGUUCAGGUUUUACGGUAUACAGCUAGAGAACUAUGACCUGCACAGACCAAUGUAAGAAAUGCCAGAAUGUCUUAGGUGCUGAAAGGAACACAUAGUAGAGAAAGAGGUUCCCAAUUUUGACCCAGAGAGCCAAGGGGGAUUUCUUGGAAGACAGGGGCCUUAAAUGACCCCUGGGUUUUCAGCAGACAUAUUCUAGAGAGGGAGACUUUCCAGGCAAGGAAGAGUGGCUGAUAAUACUAAAUACCAGUGAAGAAGUGCUUCCUCUGUGUGAGUAUUGUUCUAAGCCUUUACAUGUACUCACCCACUUAUUUCUUAUACUCACUCUGUGAGCAAGUAUGGAUAUGAUUGCCAUUUUACAGAUGAGGAAAAUGAAGCACAGAGAAGUUGAGUAACAUCCGUGGUCACCCAGCUAGGAAGUAAGUAGGGAAUGCGACAUUAGUUUAUUCUUUAUUGUAUCACUGUGCUACCUUUGAAAACCUCCAGGUAGGAAGAAUCAGGAUGUAUUCAAAUUUUUGUGCAUAUAUGGCAGGACUGGAAGGAAGCUUUGAGGAGGUUUCUAAGAGGCAUGGUUUAAAAAGUGUGUAGGGAGCAAGUGUGUAGAUACUCAGUAGGAAAUGGAAACCACAGAGAUUAGGGACAGAUAAAACCUCUCUUUUAGGAAGAAAAGAGAGCCCUUUGUAGCUCAGUCUAAAGCAACUUCCAGGACUUUUCAGUAAACAUCACUGAACUUAUCCCUGUUGGUGGCACAGUCCCAGGGUACAAGCUGACCACAAGCUGAGCAUCUAGCCCUUUAUGGAUACUUUUGAAACCUGUGGUUUAUGAGGAAAAUGAAGAGAGGUACAAAAAGUUAGUCUGGUCACUUAAUAGUCUAGAUUUCAUGAUCCCUCCUUUUAGUUCUAAGACUAUAAAGCUUGUGUUGAGAAUGGCAUCGAAUGAAUGCCAUUUCAUAAGCACAUUUCCCUUAUACCAUUCUUUAUUCAAAAUGCUCUUCCUAGGGACACCUGGAUGGCUCAGCGGUUGAGCGUCUGCCUUCGGCUCAGGGCGUGAUCUUGGAGUCCCUCACAGGGAGCCUGCUUCUCCCUCUGCCUGUGUCUCUGCCUCUCUCCGUGUGUAUGUCUCUCAUGAAUAAAUAAAUAAAAUCUUGAAAAAAAUGUUUUCCUUAAACGUUAAAUAAACGGUCAAAUGAUAGUACAAUACAUUUUCAUGUUAAUUUCACCAUUACAAAUGGCGGCCACACUUAGAAAAAUGGAACAUGAGAUUGUAUUUUAUUCUAUCCAGUAGAUAGGAGAUUUGGGACCUGCAUGAUUCUGUGGGGUGAAGCAGG